GUUGGUGUAGCUAAGUGGUAAGGUACAUGCUUUGUAUGUUUGAUGUUCUGGGUUCAAUCCCCAGCUUCUCCC